rnacentral:rRNA from 1 species
GACGUAGGGGGCGAGCGUUGUCCGGAUUUAUUGGGCGUAAAGCGUGCGUAGGCGGCUGCGCAAGUCGGUUGUGAAACCCCGGGGCUCAACCCCGGAACUGCAUCCGAUACUGCGUGGCUAGAGGUAGGUAGGGGAGAUCGGAAUUCCUGGUAUAGCGGUGAAAUGCGCAGAUAUCAGGAGGAACACCGGUGGCGAAGGCGGAUCUCUGGACCUUACCUGACGCUCAGGCACGAAAGCUAGGGGAGCGAACAGG